GAUGAACGCUAGCGGCAGGCCUAACACAUGCAAGUCGAGGGAGGAGCUUUCGGGCUUCGACCGGCGUACGGGUGCGUAACGCGUAUACAAUCCGCCUUUCACAUAGGGAUAGCCCGAAGAAAUUUGGAUUAAUACCUAAUGGUAUAUAGGAGUGGCAUCACAUUUAUAUUAAAGCUGAGGCGGUGAAAGAUGAGUAUGCGUUCUAUUAGCUAGUUGGAGAGGUAACGGCUCCCCAAGGCGACGAUAGAUAGGGGUUCUGAGAGGGAUAUCCCCCACACUGGUACUGAGAUACGGACCAGACUCCUACGGGAGGCAGCAGUGAGGAAUAUUGGACAAUGGUCGGAAGACUGAUCCAGCCAUGCCGCGUGCAGGAAGACGGCCUUAUGGGUGGUAAACUGCUUUUGCAGGGGAAGAAUAAGGACUACGAGUAGUUUGAUGACGGUACUCUGCGAAUAAGCAUCGGCUAACUCCGUG
rnacentral:rRNA from 1 species